rnacentral:rRNA from 1 species
UACGGGAGGCAGCAGUGGGGAAUAUUGCACAAUGGGCGCAAGCCUGAUGCAGCCAUGCCGCGUGUAUGAAGAAGGCCUUCGGGUUGUAAAGUACUUUCAGUCGUGAGGAAGGUGUUAAGGUUAAUAACCUUAGCAAUUGACGUUAGCGACAGAAGAAGCACCGGCUAACUCCGUGCCAGCAGCCGCGGUAAUACGGAGGGUGCGAGCGUUAAUCGGAAUUACUGGGCGUAAAGGGCACGCAGGCGGUUAAUUAAGUUGGAUGUGAAAUCCCCGGGCUUAACCUGGGAAUGGCAUUCAAGACUGGUUAGCUAGAGUCUUGUAGAGGGGGUAGAAUUCCAUGUGUAGCGGUGAAAUGCGUAGAGAUGUGGAGGAUACCGGUGGCGAAGGCGGCCCCUGGGACAAGACUGACGCUCAUGUGCGAAAGCGUGGGGAGCGAAAC